rnacentral:rRNA from 1 species
AGCAGCCGCGGUAAUUCCAGCUCCAAUAGCGUAUAUUAAAGUUGUUGCAGUUAAAAAGCUCGUAGUUGAAUUUCGGGGUUCUACCGUCGGUCGGGCUAACAAGUCUGUACUGGUGUGUAGAACUUCUACCUUCUGGGGAACUAUCAUGUUAUUAAUUUAGCGUGGUAGGAAACCAGGACCUUUACCUUGAAAAAAUUAGAGUGUUCAAAGCAGGCUUAAGUCUGAAUACAUUAGCAUGGAAUGAUAGAAUAGGACGGUGGUCCUGUUUUGUUGGUUUCUGAAUCACCGUAAUGAUUAAUAGGGAUAGUUGGGGGCAUUAGUAUUCAAUUGUCAGAGGUGAAAUUCUUGGAUUUAUUGAAGACUAACUUCUGCGAAAGCAUUUGCCAAGGAUGUUUUCAUUAAUCAAGAACGAAAGUUAGGGGAUCGAAGACGAUCAGAUACCGUCGUAGUCUUAACCAUAAACUAUGCCGACUAGGGAUCGGACGAUGUUAAAUUUUAUUGACUCG